rnacentral:rRNA from 1 species
UACGGAGGAUCCAAGCGUUAUCCGGAUUCAUUGGGUUUAAAGGGUCCGCAGGCGGAAUUAUAAGUCAGUGGUGAAAGCCGACAGCUUAACUGUCGAACUGCCAUUGAUACUGGAGAUCUUGAGUACAAAUGAAGUAGGCGGAAUGAGUCAUGUAGCGGUGAAAUGCAUAGAUAUUACAUAGAAUACCAAUUGCGAAGGCAGUCUACUACGAAUGUACUGACGCUGAUGGACGAAAGCGUGGGUAGCGAACAGG